GUAGGGAAUAUUGGGCAAUGGUCGGAAGACUGACCCAGCCAUGCCGCGUGCAGGAAGACGGCCCUCUGGGUUGUAAACUGCUUUUAUCUGGGAAGAAAAAGGCCAUGCGUGGCAAAUUGCCGGUACCAGAUGAAUAAGCACCGGCUAACUCCGUGCCAGCAGCCGCGGUAAUACGGAGGGUGCGAGCGUUGUCCGGAUUUUUUGGGUUUAAAGGGUGCGUAGGCGGCUGAUUAAGUUAGCGGUGAAAGACUUCGGCUUAACCGGAGCAGUGCCGUUGAUACUGGUUGGCUUGAGUGUCGGAGGGGUACAUGGAAUUGAUGGUGUAGCGGUGAAAUGCAUAGAUACCAUCAGGAACACCGAUAGCGAAGGCAUUGUACUGGCCGACAACUGACGCUGAUGCACGAAAGUGUGGGGAUCGAACAGGAUUAGAAACCCUAGUAGUCC
rnacentral:rRNA from 1 species